ACAGCAGUAGCCGCGGUAAAACGAACUGUGCGAACGUUAUUCGGAAUUACUGGGCUUAAAGCGCGUGUAGGCGGGCCGCCACGUCGGUUGCUGAAAUCCCCCGGCUCAACCGGGGAAGUGGCAUCGAUACGAGCGGCCUUGAGGGGGGUAGGGGGAUCUGGAACUUCCGGUGGAGCGGUGAAAUGCGUUGAGAUCGGAAGGAACGCCCGUGGCGAAAGCGAGGUCCUGGACCCUUUCUGACGCUGAGACGCGAAAGCCAGGGGAGCGAACGGGAUUAGAUACCCCGGUAGUCCCUGUCUCUUAUA
rnacentral:rRNA from 1 species